CCUACGGGAGGCAGCAGUGAGGAAUAUUGGUCAAUGGGCGCGAGCCUGAACCAGCCAAGUCGCGUGAGGGAGGACGGCCCUACGGGUUGUAAACCUCUUUUGCCGGGGAGCAACGGGCGUCACGUGUGGCGCCACUGAGAGUACCCGGAGAAAAAGCAUCGGCUAACUCGGUGCCAGCAGCCGCGGUAAUACGGGGGAUGCGAGCGUUAUCCGGAUUGAUUGGGUUUAAAGGGUGCGUAGGCGGACCGUUAAGUCAGUGGUCAAAUGGAGGGGCUCAACCCCUUCCCGACUUUGAAACUGGCGCUCUUGAGUGGAAGAGAAGUAUGCGGAAUGCGUGGUGUAGCGGUGACAUGCAUAGAUAUCACGCAGAACCCCGAUUGCGAAGGCAGCAUGCCGGCUUCCGACUGACGCUGAAGCACGAAAGCGUGGGGAUCGAACAGGAUUAGAUACCCUUGUAGUC
rnacentral:rRNA from 1 species